rnacentral:rRNA from 1 species
AUUGAACGCUGGCGGCGGGCUUAACACAUGCAAGUCGAGCGGGGUGAUGGUGCUUGCACUAUCACUUAGCGGCGGACGGGUGAGUAAUGCUUAGGAAUCUGCCUAUUAGUGGGGGACAACAUCUCGAAAGGGAUGCUAAUACCGCAUACGUCCUACGGGAGAAAGCAGGGGAUCACUUGUGACCUUGCGCUAAUAGAUGAGCCUAAGUCGGAUUAGCUAGUUGGUGGGGUAAAGGCCUACCAAGGCGACGAUCUGUAGCGGGUCUGAAAGGAUGAGCCGCCACACGGGGACUGAGACACGGCCCAGACUCCUACGGGAGGAAGCAGUGGGGAAUAUUGGACAAUGGGGGGAACCCUGAUCCAGCCAUGCCGCGUGUGUGAUGAAGGCCUUAUGGUUGUAAAGCACUUUAAGCGAGGAGGAGGCUACUUUAGUUAAUGCCUGGAGAUAGUGGACGUUACUCGCAGAAUAAGCACCGGCUAACUCUGUGCCAGCCGCCGCAGUAA